UUCCCUGUGAGGGUGCUGAGGCGCUGGCACAGGGUGCCCAAAGAAGCUGUGGCUGCCCCAUCCCUGGCAGUGUUCAAGGCCAGGUUGGACACAGGGGCUUGGAGCAAGCUGCUCUAGAGGAAGGUGUCCCUGCCUGUGGCAGGGGGUUGGAACUGGAUGAGCGUUAAGGUCCCUUCCAACCCAAAUCAUUCUAUGGUUCUAUCAGAACAUACAUGCAUCCUUCUUGCUGUCCACCUUAUCAUGAUUUAUUCCCUGUACUACAUCACAUGAUUGUCUCUUGCUUUGUGACUACACUGAAAGCUGUCUGAGGCAAAGCCAUUAUCGUGCCAAUAGCACUGGAAGGUGGCCAUCACACCUGCAGGUGCUGUGAAAUCAUUAAAUAAAGAUCACAGUGUAAAAUAUGCUGGCCUGUUCCUCCAGUUUCAAGCAUGCUAUUUGGUUUUAUGCAUAGGUUUGCAGUUUAAUAUCCAUGUAGGUACCCCUUAACCUUCUAGCUGCAGCUUGCUGUUCCAGCUGUGACUUUUUUCCAAUAGGGAGAGGCAGAGAUGGUAUUUUCAAGGCCUCUAAGCUCCUGAAGAAGUGGCUUAAAACAUAAGAAAAAACAGUUCCAGACAUGUGUGCUGUGAGAAAGAAAAGGCAAAUAUCCACAUGUAUUCUAUUUCUUACAUUGGUCUGCCUACACUUCUCUUUCCUGAUAGUCAAGGCUGUCAUAUUUGAUUUCUGCUCUGAACCAUGGACUUGCCUAACACCUACUAAUACAGCAGCUUCUCUUCAUUAACCUGAGCACCUGUUGCUGUAUAAAUCCAAGUAGAGUGAUACUGCACUUUUCUGGUCAUGUAAGCAACAAAACUAUAGCUUGUUCUCUUUGUUGAUAGACUCUGAAAAUGGAACAGGACUGGCAGCUCUCUUGGUAUUCUUUAUAUAGCUUCACUCUUCUUUUAGAGACCAAAUCAACUGGAAAGGCUGCUGACUGGUGAUGCAAGUUGGACUGUUCCACAGGGUAAGCAGGAAACAGGUCUCAAGGGAGGCCAGUGUUCAGGUUCUUGUGUUGAGGUGGGGGGGUCUGAAUAAUCUGUAUGUGUACAUUAACAGGAGAACUUAACACUUAUGUUCAUGCUCAGGCCAACAGCAUGGCAGCCUCAGCCCCGAGCUACACAUAAUUAUUACAUGUUUUCUAAGCAUUGAUGCUAUAUUCUUUUUUUUUUUAAAUACUAGUACUUUAUUUUUUACACUAUUCCUUUAUUUUAUUCCCAAACUCCAUUAAACAUUUGGCUAUGCAAACACCAGUAGAUGUCACUGACAGAGAAAUGAAGGAAUCCCAUCACUGAGGUAUUUUUGCUCUGUGAAGUGUCAAUUAUUGCUUUACAGCAGUUAGGGUCUUGUGUUAAUUCUUAGAGAAAGUAUGGCCAAAACACAGCUUCUGUGUAGCUUUAAAUUCAAUGAAUUUUUAUUGCAUGACAUUUUGAUGUGCACAUUUAUCUAAGGGGCUUUUCUACAACAGAGCAAGUGUAGGAGCUUUUCUGUGUAACAGAACUGUGGCUAGUCCAAAGUAAUGGAAAGGUAUGCUAACAUAAAUUACAUCUGGACUAACCUUUUAUCAAACCAAUGUUCAUUUGGGCAAACAAUACUGAUAAGAGCUGUCAUUUUGUGUGGCUUUGCACUGAGCCUGGUGAAACUUAGCAUUUUCCUUUGCACGAAUCCCAACAGACCUCAAAGUUCCCAGUGAUCCCAGGUUUAGUGAGGUUAUAGCUACUCAGCUCUUGACCAUAACCUAAAACGAUGACCGUGGUUUCACUCUGAAACCUUUUCACCUUUUCAGUUUGAUAUAAGGGCUGGUGAGAGACACAAACCUUGGAACCAAAGGAAAGGUCACCAGCAUUUGUGAGUGCUCAUAGUCAAGGCUUUCAUUGGAGGCCGUCCAUAGUGCUCUAAGUUGACUUUCAAAGCUCUGUGCAUUGGGGGUUAUUUCUCUUCCCCAGUUAAAGAGAACUUCAUCCAUGCAGUAAAUUUGAUACACAGGGUUUCUUGCCUGAGCAGCUCUUACAUUCAUCCUGGACUAUAUACACUGUAAUGAAGUAUCUGGCUUGUGAAGAGUA